GCUUAAAACUCUUUAUUUAAAUACUUUAUUAUAAUUAAAGCUUAACGCAGUUAACUUUUAUAUAUGUGUAUAUAUAUAGAUAUAUAUAGAUAGAUAUAAACAAUUUCUUCUCUCACUUCCCUAAAUGAAAGCUGGAUUUAGGGGGAUACAUUACUUAGGGUGGGGGAUUGUUUUUUUGUUUUUCCUUCAAAUAAAGUCAUUUGUUAUACAUAUAAAAAUAUAUUACUUGGGUCUCCUUUCAGUCACAGGUAACACAAGGGACGGACGAAAGAAUGGAAGACGAGCACAAGGACCUCCAAACCAAAAAUUAAAACCAGUGGAUCGAAGCGUGUGGCACACUUGGAAUUUAUAGUGCAACAGCGAGGCAGGAACUCCACGUUCUGCGACACAAACAUGGCACCACCCAGCCUGGGGACACGUGGGGACACGCGGCCUUGCUCCCCGCAGGGCCACGGCUCCGCAGGACGUGCCAGCACCAAAAACCAGAGGAAGGCUGAACUUCCAAAAGCUGGGACCCGAGCCGCUGGCCCCUGGAGCUGGGCAUGGGCUCGCUCCUCUUCCACCCACGUCAAGGGCGGGACACGUGGAAGGACAAGGGGGACACGAGGCUUGGCCCUGCUCCUGCCCCAGGAGGCACAGGGACACAGGAGCAGGGAGCUGGGGCUCCAGGGCACCCCAGGGCACCCCAGAGAAUUCCAGAGAAUUCCAGAGCACCCCAGGGCACCCCAGAGAAUCCCAGAGCAUCCCAGAGAAUCCCAGAGAGUCCCAGAGAAUCCCAGAGACUCCCAGAGCACCCCAGAGCAUCUCAGAGAAUCCCAGAGCACCCCAGAGAAUUCCAGAGAAUCCCAGAGCACCCCAGAGCACCCCAGAGAAUCCCAGAGCACCCCAGAGCAUCUCAGAGAAUCCCGGAGAAUCCCAGAGCACCCCAGAGGAUCCCAGAGCACCCCAGAGAAUCCCAGAGCAUCUCAGAGCACCCCAGAGCAUCCCAGAGCAUCCCAGAGAAUCCCAGAUCACCCCAGAGCAUCCUGGGGCAUCCCAGAGCACCCCAGAGCACCCCAGAGCAUCCCAGAGCAUCUCAGAGAAUCCCAGAGCACCCCAGAGCACCCCAGAGCAUCCCAGAGCACCCCAGAGCACCCCAGAGCACUGCUCUCCACCGGAACAGGCACAGAGAAACCCAGGGAAAGGCCGAGGCACCGCGUGUCCUGCGGGGAGGGACCAGGGGACAAUCCGGGGGCGGCUCAGCGCCACCCCGGCAUGGAGACAAAAAUCCACAGCAAAA
rnacentral:lncRNA from 1 species